CCUACGGGAGGCAGCAGUGAGGAAUAUUGGUCAAUGUGCGCGAGCCUGAACCAGCCAAGUAGCGUGAAGGAUGACUGCCCUACGGGUUGUAAACUUCUUUUAUAAAGUAAUAAAGUGAGUCACGUGUGCCUUUUUGUAUGUACUUUAUGAAUAAGGAUCGGCUAACUCCGUGCCAGCAGCCGCGGUACUACGGAGGAUCCGAGCGUUAUCCGUAUUUAUUUGGUUUAAAGGGAGCGUAGAUGGGUUGUUAAGUCAGUUGUGAAAGUUUGCGGCUCAACCGUAAAAUUGCAAUUGAUACUGGCAGUCGUGAGUACAGUUGAGGUAGGCGGAAUUCGUGGUGUAGCGGUGAAAUGCUUAGAUAUCACGAAGAACCCCGAGUGCGAAGGCAGCUUACUAAACUGUGAGUGACAUUGAUGCUCGAAAGUGUGGGUAUCAAACAGGAUUAGAUACCCCAGUAGUC
rnacentral:rRNA from 1 species